rnacentral:misc_RNA from 1 species
GAUGAAGAACGUAGCGAAAUGCGAUAAGUAGUGUGAAUUGCAGAAUUCAGUGAAUCAUCGAAUCUUUGAACGCACAUUGCGCCCCUUGGUAUUCCAUGGGGCAUGCCUGUUCGAGCGUCAUUUGUACCUUCAAGCUUUGCUUGGUGUUGGGUGUUUGUCCUUUCUCUUGCAGAGGGACUCGCCUUAAAGUAAUUGGCAGCCAGUGUUUUGGUUUUGAAGCGCAGCACAAGUCGCGAUUCAAAGCUAUACCCCAGCUUCCACAAGCCUUUUUCACUUUUGACCUCGGAUCAGGUAGGGAUACCCGCUGAACUUAAGCAUAUCAAUAAGCGGAGGA